UUAAGAUCUUUUAAGAUAUUGUAAGGCAAUUAGGAAGGAUUUUAAAGGGUAUUUGUAGGCCAUGGGCGGACACGCACGCGCACACGCGCACACGGACACACAAACAUACACACACGUUUUCCUUCCCACGCCGCGUUUUCCUUCACGGCUUUGUCUGCUAAGCAGCAAAGGUAGGUGGGCCACUCUUCCUGUUGGUUUUCAAAGAGCUCAUCUUUCCCCUUUUCCCGUUACACGUUGUCUUCUCGGCCCAAAUGCGCUGUUUUGGACUCGCGGGGUCCGUCUUCAUCCCUCCGUCGCCCCUCCAGCUUUCUGCCGUCUUGUCAUGUUCAGAAGUAUUUGCAACGAGCCUCACCAAUGCCGUGGCCUCUGCACCAUGUAGUCACCGCGGCACGGCUUCAGUCGACAUGGGACCACGUUUCACCCAGCCCACAUCCGACAGAAUCGACGAGCUCUCUCGGGAGAGCAUCGGACGUGUUUCGGAAGUAUCCUUACUGCCCUUCUUGCUCAUCAUUCCAGAAAUGUGAUUCCGCGUGGCAGUUAGCACAUGGAGCUUUUCCAGGUGAACCACUGUGGGCUCCUGGGGACUUCCCUUUUCUUCCUGAAAAGUUGACAAAUGACCAUGACCACAGAACAGCCAACACACUGAGCACAUUCCACCUGCCAGGCAGGGUUAGUACACACACCAGGGGUCAUUUAUUCCCCCAAAGAACCUUCUAAGGAAGGUACCCUUACCAGCCCUAUUUCAAGGUUAGGGAACAGUCCCAGAGAGGGGAAGUCACUUGCCUGAGGCCACACAGCUUGUAGGAGGCAGAGCCACACCUGGAGCCCAUCCCCUGGCUUCUACCAGAGCCCACACCCUGUUGGCCCACCCUCCCACCCCACGGUUGUCAUUAACUCUGUUAUCUGUCGCAGGAAACUGUGGUGCAGAGUUUUGCAGGGAUCUGCUCCAAGUUUCUGUCCCUGCACUGCCAUCAUCCUGUUGGGCCCACUUGGCACAGGGGGCCAGGCUUCUUCAUGGGGUCUCCUCUUCACGGGGCUGCAGAGGGGGCUUCAUUCAAGGGCUGACCUGAGCUCUGCCUUUGCAGAUUUCCUCCCUGCGGUUUUGUGGAAAGGGUUUUAUAAUCACAAGGACUGCAGCAGCAGGUGUGAGCGGGCCAUCCCCCAGGCCCCUGGAAGGGCUCUGGCACAAUGCAGGAAAGGGUAAUGAUCAAGACCACCUGAAUGCCUGCCAGGUUCCCCUCCUUACUACUGUGUAACCUUGGACGAGUUACUUAACCUGUCUGGAACUCAGUUUCCACAUUUGGGGAGAACAACUGAGAGGAUGUGUGGAAAAUGCUCAGUGUCAAGGAGGUGGUCAGGAAAUGCCCCAUCAAUAUGGUGGUCAUCCCAACCUUAUUUGUUGAACUUCAGUUACCUGGGCCCCCCUUUUUCUCCUGCUUCCCCAGUCCUUCUCCGAUGGCACAGUUCAGGUCCUAGCUGGGUGGGAUGGGGCUACAGAAAAGAAUAAUCUUGGUCCCACCCUUGAGACUUCCGGUGUGUGGAUGGGGCAGCCAGGCCUGGGGAAGGGCGCCUGGGACUGGCUCUGUGUGUCCUCUGCCCUACUCUGCCCAUCCCUUCCCCAUCAGCUUCUGAGGCCCACUCCCUGCUCCCUUCUGAGGGAGGGCCAUUCCAGACACCUCCCUCCCUCACCCCAUGACUGCUCAGUCUUUCUGGUCCCUGAGUUUCUCCAAUGGAGAUGCUGGCCUUGUGCCCUGUUUCCCUUCCUCGAUCAGGGGCUUUCCUGGGAAGGGACCAUGUGUCCUCAGACUGAACUUCCCAUGGCCUUGGCUAUGUCUCCCCCUUCAGACUGGGGCCUCCAAUGAUGGUGUGUCUUUCCACUGAGGCCCCCCAGACUGUCCCCCUCUGACUGCUGUCUUGUCCCUCUCAGAAUGGGGGUACCCAAAGAGAGAGGCUGUGUUUCCCCAGGCCAGGGCCCCUUAGGGAAAUGAGUUAGGUCUUCCCCCUCAGGAAGCUCCUUGAGGGUAAGAAAUCUAUUUCUCCUCUCACGCUUGGAGACAAAGAUAGAGGCUGUAUCUUCCGCCUCAGUCUGGGGCUCUCUGGGGACAAGGGUUGUGACUUCCUGCUCAGAUCGGGGCUCCCCUUGGGUCAAGCUGUGUCUCCUCCCUCAUGCUUGAGCUUUUCUGGGACAGGUCUGUGUUCUCCCUCAGACUGGGGUUCUCAGGCUGGGCAUUUGUAGCCACCCCUCCCCCCACCCCCACACCCUGGCCAGGAGUUCAGUGCCAGGCAAGUAAUUGAAUUCCUGUACGUUAACAAGUCAAUCAUGGAGUCUUAAUGAGUCCCGAGUAAUCUCAGACAUGCGUGUUAAUUAAAUAGCUGUCCUGGUUCUAAUCCGCUGGAAGUUAAUCACUGGGGAAUUAGGAGGUGUCAGCUGGGGAACUCCAUUAAGGAGGUGAGGGUGGGGUCUAGCCAGGGGAGGGAGGGAGCCAGGGAUGGAGUUAGGUGUGCGUGGGGGUGACCUGUCCCGAGUGGCCCAUCGGAGAGUAGGGGUGGGGGCACGUGGCUGGAGGGCAGCAGGGCCAGGAGCAUCCCCACCCUCAGUCUUUGCCAGCCCUUGAUACCUGGGCAGAACCCCUCAGCCCCCAGCCUGGCCCAGCCUAGCCCCUGCCCUGCCUCAGUCUCCAGUCCAGGAAAACUCGGGAAGAGGCACAACAGACAGGAAGUGCAGGGCACAGAGUAGGGUUAGCACCAGGCGUGCUCUGCAAAUACAAGUUCUCCUGAUCUUUCCAGUGUUUGCCCACUCCCUCACCCUGCCUCCAACCCCCUCCACCCUCCUCUGCACCUGGGGGGCAGAACCUCUAGGGGGGUUUCACCUGUCACCCUUCCCCCUCUGGCUUCCAGGUGGGUCUGGCCAACGGGAGGGUUCUGUAGGGUGGCAGCCUAUGGGUCCCUUGAGCCCUGCAGGCACCCCUGCAAAUGGUCCAGUCAUCAAACCCUCUCCUGAGGCCCUUUGAGCGAGCAGUCUGUUUCCUGCCACAGCCCUGAUGGGUUUUGAACAGCCACUCCGGGCUUCGAAUGUGGCUGCAUCCCAUGUCUUGGUGUCCAUGGCAGGUUAAAGAUGGUCCCACUCCACAAUCUGUGCCACUCCUCCCACUAAGAGUUGGACUAUAUUUUCUUUCCCUUUGAAUUUAACUUGGCCCCUGACAGCUUUCACCAAGAGCACGAGUGACACUGUGUCACUUCCAAGGCCAAAGCUAAAGAUAUCUGUCACUUUCACUUUUCUUGCUCCCCACGCCCUCUUGGAAGACAGGUGCCGUGUGAGAAGCCUGACUGUCCUGAGACCGCCAUAUCGUGAGGAAGCCCAAGCUGGGUGCACGGAACAGCGCUGGGGACACCAGACAGGUUCUCGCAGGGCUCGGGGAGGAGGCAUCUAUGACUGCGCGUUUUAUUCUCUGCUCUUCUCCCGUCAACUCCGAAGUCCUACUCCCGGCCCUGAGCUGGGAAGUGACAGCUGGCUUGCUUCAAUUGGGAAUUUUUUGCUGAGUUCUGGUAUCUAGAUGUUGGGAGGGACCCUUCCUUACUCCCAGCCAGAUGGCAGAAAUGGCUAUUUCGCCCGACCAGCUCUCUCUCUCGAAAGCUUCUAAAGCUAAGCCCGUUCUGUAGGGUUUCCUCCACUGGGUCUGGUCUACAGCCUUGACUGUAUCCUUGUUUGGAUUUGGGUUUGUCCUGGUUGGUGGCCUCCAGGGCCAUCAGCCUCUGGGUCCCUAUCACACCCCGUGGUCUCCUCUCCCGAAGCCCCCGCCUACUCUGGGUCGGUGUAAGGUCUGGGUCUGGGUGAGAGGUGGCAGAUGUGCGCGGGGCUUAGUGAUGCCGAUGGAGCUGAGGACUGUGAGCCCCCGGCCCAUAGUUUCUCCUGUCUCCCAUCUCCCUUCUCCCUGGCCACGUUUGUUCUGCUCUGUCUGCCUGCCCGUAGAUCAGGGAUAGGACACCUGCAGGCCAAGCUUCUACGUGGCUGACUGUGCAGAAUGGACACGCCACCCCAGAGCGCGGCUGCCUCCCUGGGCCUGUUGGAGGGCCACAGCCCCUUUGUCUCCUCCUCCCUGUUCAUGUCCCUCCCUCAGCAGUUGAGUCCCUUUCUGGUGCAUACCGCUGGGUGAUGAGCUCAGCCCAGAGUGGCUUCCCAGUGAACUGACCUGCUGCUCGAGGGGCAGGAAGAUUCAGUUCUCUAAUUUUUUUUAGAAGAAAUCUGCCUUUGAAGAGGCAGUCUAGGGCAAUGGUAAAAGCUCAAACUCCCACUAGAUGUCCUGAGUUUGAAUCCUUUCUCUGUUUCUCUGCAGCUGUGUGACUUCAGGCAAGACAACCUCUCUGUUCCUCUGUUUCCACCUCUGUAUCACCAGGAGAAUAACAACACCUAGUUCGUAGGACUGGUGGUUUGAACAGCGCCUGGCGGAUAAGUUCUCAAUAAACAUCAGUUACUAUUCCUGAAGGCCAGGGGCACAUGUCUGACUGUUCAGAACUCUCUCCUUUCAACCUGUUUUCCUUCCUCUUUUCUUCUUCAUGCAAAUAUAUAGUAAUGAUGCUUCUGUACCUUCUCUCUCCUGCCAGCUGGCUGUCCUGGGGUGAAGGGAACCAGGUCCCUCUCCCUGCAGGCUUGAAGACUCCUGACAGGCAGUGGGCCGUGGAGGACGAAGUGGCAUGCCCGGGACAGGCAGAGAACAGAGGCAGGCACCUAAGGGCCGUGGAGGGAGGAGAACAGUGUGGCUGGGAUACAGGGCGGGAGAGAGGCUUACUCUGGCUGUCCUUUCCACUCUUUGAAUUUUGAACCAUGUGAGUCCAUUAACUAGUUUUAAAAAAAAGAACAAACAACAAAUCCAGACGAUCCACCAACCGCAAACGGACGCUGGGCCUGCCCCACUGUGCAGCGGGGCCUGGAGCUGGGCGGGGUAUGCUGAGCCACUUGGUCGGGGCUGGUGUUUUGGCGGCUCCUGGCCCGUGCUGCCAGGUGGGCGGGGGGGAGGGGGUCGGCGCAGAGGGGGACAGUGAGGGAGGCCCCCGUCUUCCCACACGUGAGGCAUAGGUGCACUUGUUUUAAUUCUCAUCCGUGCCGUUGGGUCCCUGAGACGACGGCGCUGCACUCUAAACUCAAUUAGAAAUUUAACAAACCUUAUAAAUCCUCCCCAGCCUGAGCCUCGUAAAUCUCCAGAGCGGGGCCAGCUUAGCACUUAUCCAUCUCUGGCUGAAUGACCUCCCCAGCCCGGCCUGAGAAUGAUUCAGGGCCAGUGACAGGUCUAAUUAGCACGCACUACGGCCGCUGGCCGCCCCGCGAAGGGAGGAGGAAGGGGGAGCCUGGUCUCUGCCCAGGGGCGUUAGGGAAGUGAGCCCUGACCCUCAUCCUAGUCAGGAGGAAGGGGGAGCCUGGUCCCUGCCCAGGGGCUUUAGGGAAGUGAGCCCUGACCCUCGUCCCGUCUGGACCUCAGGGCUGUGGCACACAGGACGAGGGACGGAGAGGGGUACAAGUGCCCGAUUGACUGUCCUAGUUAACGUCGCCACGCUGGUGGUGUGUCUUACUUGGGGAAGGCCGUUGGAGGCAGGCCGCCGGGAAUGCUAUUGCGUCAAGGGCCACGUGGGACCCAAGUAGUCUCCUAGCAAGGCAACAAGUUCGUGGGCGGAUUUGAGGCUGUGUUGACAGCCAGUGAACAUCAACGUGGGCGAGUUUUGAGAGUGGGUUCUGAUCUUCCAGUCCCCGAGGGAAUCGAAUCCAGAGUAGCUCAUGUGACAUCGCAGGGGGUUCAGAUAGCUCCAUUUUUAAGGGUGAAGGGUUCAGGUUUAGUGAGAAGAUGGAGUUUUCAAAUGAGCUUUCCUUGUAAGGUAGUGAGCUCCCCGUCAGUGGAUAGAAAGCCCAGGAUCCUCUUUUUUUUUUUUUUUUUUUUUAAGGAGUUUAGCUUUUUAAUGACCAGGUUACAUAAGAGGUGGGGUCAAUAAGACCAAAGCCCAUGUCAACAUCAGACUCAUCUGAUUCUUCGUUCUUCGCUUCCACUUUCUUCUCCUCUGCUGGGGCAGCCCUGUGGAGGGAGCCGGACCUUCUGCGGGUGCAGCACAGCUGCUGGGGUGGCUCCACCAUCCCCUACAGAUGAGGCUGCCGAUGUUGACAUUGGCCAGUGUCUUUGCAAGAAGCCCGGCUGGAAAGGUUCCACAUUUACACCCCCUGCUUUAAUGAGGGCAGGCCAUCCAUCGUAUCCUCUGUGACCAUCCCCUUGUCGUGCGGGACGAGCGAGGGCCGUGUAGAUGCGGGCCAGCUCCAAGACGGAGGCCACGGUGCGGGUGAGCACUGAGCGGGCGCUGCCGGAUGUGGUGCUUACCGCCGGCGGAAGUGAGAGCCUCACCCCAGCUCGGCCUUAGCUUCCUUGGAAGGACCGAGCACCUUAGCGGUGUUGAGGAAAGGGCCAGCAUCUUCUGCUAUUAAUGACACCCCAGCUGUGGGUCGGGCCUUUCAUACAUCAUCUGAUGCGAUCUUCAGGUCCCAUUUUACAGACGAGGAAACUCAUGUUCAGGGAGGUUAUGUAACAUGUACCAGGUCAUGCAGAACCAGGAUGGGAAUGCUGGCCUGUCUGGCUUCAGGCCCGGGGCUCCCCCUCCGCAUCUCUCCCGUCUCUGCUGAAGACGCGCCCUGCAGGCAGCUUCUCACUGAAGAGGAUGCUCACGGUGAUUCUGGGCACAAAAUGAUUCAAGGCCCCAGAGCCCAGAGCCACAAUCUUCUGGCAACAUGGGUUGCCUUUGACAGGCUGUUCCACCAUGUUUGGCGCCCUGGUGGGAAGACGGGUCCUCUGUCUCUGCAGUCUUUCCCUCCUCUCUUGCUCUCAUUCUCAGGCUUUCCUGUCUUCUCCCAGCCUCCUUCUGGCCUCUCGCUGGCCCUGAUCCCAACUCACACUGAGUUAUUUGCCAGGAAGUUGGGGGUGGGGUAGGUCUGAGCUCUCCCCUUCUACCAGUCACCUCCAGGGCUCGGAAGCAGGAGGCAGGGCCGACACCACUGCCUGGGGAGAUGGAUGCCAGCUCUUGCCCCCACUGGCCCUUCUGACCCCCCCCCCCGCCCCCGAGCCCGGAGCAGUCACCAGGAUGAGGCCUGGGUAAUUGGUUCCAUCCAAGUCUCAUUCUCAGUGGCAUGAAAGGGAAAGUUAUAAAUAUUUUUAUCUAUAACUCACGACGAAUAAAAAUUUAAUUACACUGAAAAAUUUAAAUUUCAUAAGAAAUAAAUAUUAAUUCUGGAGAG